GCCGAGUUAGGUUGCGCUAGCUUCUAACCCGAGUGGGGGCAUUGGGUGAUUGGACAGUGUCUGAGCCCCCUUGGUAGGGUCCGUGGAUGCGACUCUCUGGCUUGCCCGUUCCAAGUUGGUAGUUGAACCAUGGGGUUCGAGCGUAAGCUUGGGCUUCUUGGUUCCUAGAGAGGAGGGCUCCGCGUGAGGCUGGUUUAACAGAGCAGCGAAAACUUUCCGUUACGAACAGUGGAAGGAUAACAAGCCAGUGCAUCCUAGAUCCAGAUUACCAAGUGGGCUGAGCUCAAUUGGACGCUCACCUUU
rnacentral:SRP_RNA from 2 species